UGUUUUCAUCGCAGAGCAUCAUUCACCCCACAAUGACUAGCCAUGGUACUAAAAGAAAGCGUAGUGAUGAACCAUCCGGCUCAAGUGCAAAGCGCCCUGACAACAGUUCACAGGAACUUAGAACAGG